rnacentral:rRNA from 1 species
AUCGAACGCUGGCGGCAGGCUUAACACAUGCAAGUCGAGCGGGCACUUUCGGGUUUCAGCGGCGGACGGGUGAGUAACGCGUGGGAACGUGCCCGCUUGUUCGUGAUAACUCAGGGAAACUUGAGCUAAUACCGGAUACGCCCUUUUGGGUAAAGGCUUGCUGCCGGAGGAUCGGCCCGCGUGUGAUUAGAUAGUUGGUGAUGUAACGGCUCACCAAGUCGAGGAGAAGUAGAUGUUCUGAGAGGAAGAUCAGAGACACUGGGACUGAGAAACGGUCGAGAAUAUUACGGGAGGCAGCAGUGGGGAAUACUGGAAAGUCGGCGGAAGGAUGAUGCAGCUAGGACGCGUGAGUGAUGAAGGUCUUAGGGUUGUAAAGUUAUUUUAUCCGGGACGAUAAUGACGGUACCGGAAGAAUAAGCCCCGGCUAACUUCGUG